rnacentral:rRNA from 1 species
AGUUGGUGGAGUGAUUUGUCUGGUUAAUUCCGUUAACGAACGAGACCCCAGCCUGCUAAAUAAUCACGUGAAUAAUUUUUUAUUGACGAUGGUUUCUUAGAGGGACAUGUGUUUUUAAGACACCGGAAGAUUGGGGCAAUAACAGG